rnacentral:lncRNA from 1 species
GAGAAGAGCGUGGCGCGCCUGGUGUAGGGCCUGCUGCUCCGAGGCGGCGGCGGCGGCGGCGGCGGCGGUAUGCGCGUGUGAGAUGCGGCCGCGGGUAGCCCGGACGCGAGCGGCGGCCCCCGGGGCAGCGGCGAAAGUGAGCGCGGCCUCUUCAGAGAGAGGCGUGCAGUGCAUGAGGGCGAGCGCGCGGGCGCUGGGCAUCCGCCGGCCACGCCGUCUCCAUAAACACUUGUUUAGGACUUGUUCGCCUCGCUGAGGCUGCGGCGCCGGGCAUGGAGCCCCCGUCCGAACCCGAGCCCGAGCCCCAGCCCCUUGCAGAGGCCUCAGCCGCCGCUCCGCUGCGCGCACCAGAGGUGGCGCGGCUUCGCGAGGAGCAGGAAAAGGUGGUCACUAACUGCCAAGAGAAAAUCCAGCAUUGGGAGAAAGUAGACAAUGACUACAGUGCUCUUCAAGAGAGGCUGAGGACCUUGCCUGACAAGCUGUCUUACGACGUCAUGGUACCAUUCGGCCCUCUUGCCUUCAUGCCAGGAAAACUAGUCCACACUAAUGAAGUCACUGUUUUACUUGGCGACAACUGGUUUGCAAAGUGCUCAGCCAAGCAGGCUGUGGGUUUAGUUGAGCAUCGGAAAGAACAUGUAAGAAAAACAAUAGAUGAUUUUAAAAAAGUGUUGAAAAAUUUUGAAUCCAGAGUUGAAUUCACAGAAGAUUUGCAGAAGAUGAGUGAUGCUGCAGGUGAUUUUGUUGACAU